CGCAGGCACCGCCAGCGGGGCGCCCCCGCCGCCAUGUCCCCCCCGGCCUCGGCGGCCGCCGCCAGCGAGGGAGGCAGCAGCACGCCGGUGCCUCCGGAGGAGGAGGCGGAGGGGGCCAGAGAGGAGCAGCGGCCAGUGAAGCAGUCUCUCAGCAAGUCCCUGUGCCGAGAGUCCCACUGGAAAUGCCUGCUGCUGUCCCUCCUCAUGUAUGGCUGCAUGGGAGCCAUGACCUGGUGCCACGUCACCAAGGUGACCCGGCUGACCUUCGACAGCGCUUACAAGGGCAAGUCCAUGAUGUACCAUGACAGCCCCUGCUCCAACGGCUACGUCUACAUCCCCUUGGCUUUCCUGGUGAUGCUCUACGUGGUGUACCUGGUGGAGUGCUGGCACUGCUACACGCGCAACGAGCUGCAGUACAAGGUGGACGUGGAGAGCGUGCACGAGCGCGUGCAGCGCAUGCAGCAGGCGACGCCCUGCAUCUGGUGGAAGGCCAUCAGCUACCACUACGUCCGCAGGACCCGGCAGGUCACCCGCUACCGCAACGGGGACGCCUACACCACCACCCAGGUGUACCACGAGCGGGUCAACACCCACGUGGCAGAGGCCGAGUUUGAUUACUCCAACUGCGGGGUCAAGGACAUCUCCAAGGACCUCAUCGACUUGGAGAGCUACCCAGCCACGCGGCUUCGCUUCACCAAGUGUUUCAGCUUUGCCAACGUGGAGUCUGAGAACUCCUAUCUGACCCAGCGGGCCCGCUUCUUCACGGAGAACGAGGGCCUAGACGAUUACAUGGAGGCCAGGGAGGGGAUGCACCUCAAAAAUGUGGACUUCAAGGAAUACAUGGUGGCCUUUUCCGACCCAGACAACCUGCCUUGGUACGUAUCUCACUAUGUCUUCUGGGUGGCAGCUCUGCUGACCCUGUCCUGGCCCCUGCGGGUGCUAAAUGAGUACCGCACCUCCUACGUCCAUUACCACGUGGAAAAACUCUUUGGGUUCGAUUACGUGGCGGUGACGCCGGCCGAGGAGCGCUCCUUCUGCCGGAGGAUGCCCCGUGUCAACACGGUGGACAGCACGGAGCUGGAGUGGCACAUACGCUCCAACCAGCAGCUGGUGCCCAGCUACUCGGAAGCGGUGCUGAUGGACUUGGUGGGGCUCUCCGGCUGCACCAGCUACUCUGCCUGCCGCUACGGGGGCUACCGGCAGAACUGCGAGCGCUGCCACAGGACUAUAAGCAGCUCCUCCAUCUUCUCCCGCAGCGCUCUGAGCAUCUGCAACGGCAGCCCCAGGAUUCCCUUCAGCAGCAGCCGCUUCUCCCUGGGCCGCCUGUAUGGCUCGCGCCGCAGCUGCCUCUGGCAGAGCCGGAGCGGCAGCCUCAACGAGCAGAGCUGCCCCACCGAGCAGACACGCCUCUCCAGCCAGGUGACUGUGGAGGAGGAAGACCCCCCUCCUUAUCAGGAUGCCCUCUACUUCCCCGUCCUCAUUGUACACCGCAACGAAGGCUGCCUGAACCACGACCACCGUCACCUCCAUCGCAAUGGGUCCUGCGUGGAGACCUCACUGUGAAAGCAGAAGGCGGUGAGAUCUCAUUGUCCAUUGCCCGGCCCGAGCCGGCGCAGGAUUUGGGGAGAGGAGCACGAGGGGGAUAGCCCAGGAGGACAUCAGGAUGGAGUGGACGUGGCAUCCUGCUCCGGCAGCCAGCAAAAGCUUCCCCCGCUGUGGCUCUGACCUCCCCGAGGGGUGGAUGCUGAUGCUCCCCCUGACAUGGCACAGAACUCUCGACCGAUCACCACAUGCAAAAAAAAAAAACCCCACCAAACCAACAGCAAAACCAUAAUUCAUGGUAUCAAGACCCAAAGGGGGGAAUAAAACGACAGGCCUGAUGCAGGGAGGGGGUGGCUUUGGCUCCCAGCCCUGGCUCCAGGCUGGCUCGUGCUCCAAGGAACCAGCAGCCACCAAAAAGCACCCUGCUGCACCCCUGUCCACCCUGCUUCCCACACUGGAGCGAGAGCCCUGACAGGGUGGAGGAGAGCAGGCCCCUGGAGCAGGGUGUCGCUGCCUGUGACAGAAGGUCAUGGGUGCCCAGGCACGUGGAGCUCAAUGGCAGGUUAGAGCAAAGGCUGAAAGCCACGAAUCCGCCUCUUCCCCUUCCCCCUGCCCGUUCCCCACCCUCUCCACUUUUUUUUUAGACCAUGCUCCGACUGUUAUUUUUUCUCACUGCUGGGAAUGGCAUUGCCCCCAGAGGAUCUCAUGCUCAGCUCCUUAGGAAGUUUUGGUGUGCCAGGUGUGAGUCAGCAUCCUCUUGGUAAAGGGUUUUCUGUUUGGGCAUGCAGCACCAGGGAAGGGAUGAAUGUGCAAAUCCAGAUGAAGCAGAGAUCUGCAGUGCUACUGAUGUGUUUGCUGGAGGAGGGCUCAGCUGGAAAGAGAAAAGGGGAGGCCCCUGGUGAGCUGGGGAAGGGGAAGAGGAUGGCACUGGAACAGACAUUGUGGUAUCAGGUGGCACAUCAAGUGGCUGGGGACCCUUCCUGGCUUUGAAGUGAGUCUUAAUUGGUUCAGCCAAGCAUCAAGGAAGUCUCUGCUGCUCUGCCAAGGGGAACAUUAUGGAUGUGAUCUCGUCAACUCCCUCAAAAGCAAGCUAACAAGCAAAUUGACCUCCACAGCACCGGGAGAGGAGCUUUCUCCCACAGGACCACAGCCUUUCUGCCUCUGAGCUCAAAGAGGUCCCAAGGACAGAACUGAACCUGCAAGACCCAUGGCCUCGUGGCCUGCCCUUCCUCCUUCCCUCCUUACCUCAUAUCUGUCUUGGGGGAGGGACAUUUCCCUGUGGAGUUCAACAGGCUCCUCUUCCUGCGGCUCGUGAACAGGCUCUACUAACAGGUAUAUCAUCCACCUAUGCAACUCUUCCAGAAGCUGCCAGAUUUUCAGGAGCCCAUUACAGUGUGCAGCAUGGCCAUCCAGAAUAAGCACAGUGGCUGCUGGAAAGCUAAGUGGGUUUUAUUCCUCCCCCAUUCCCCAGGAAGACUCUUUUUGUUGGGCCAUUUUGUUUGUUUGUUCGUUUGUUUGGUUUUUGUAAACUUCAUUUGGGGGAAAUGAAGCUCGUGAGAAAUUGGUGCCCAUCCUGAACCCUCCCCAGUCCUUCGAACUCUGUGAAUGGAUGGAUCACCUACUGUGGUUAUAAUUAGUGGAUUUUGUAGAACAAAAUAACUUCACACACAGACACAUGAGGUUCUUUCACUCUCCAUCAGCACAAGCUGCUUCUGCAAUCUUAGCUACUCACAUUAGUGAAAGAAAAAGCCUAGCUAGAAUGUGGUGAGAUGACGUAGUGCUUUGUACCAGUCCUAUGGUCCCAACGUCCAUUAGCAGCGCCGUCAGCUGCCGUGACAUGAAUUCAGACUUUGGAUGGCAGCCCAUGAACCAGUCAGGGUGAAAAUUUGGAAAAUCCCAAGCCUGAGUCUAUGCACAUUUCCAGAAGCAGAUGCAGAGGGAGGAUCAGCUGAACGCAGGCAUCCCCUCCUGCUCAGCCCCGGCAGGAGCUGGUGGGCUCUGUUUGUGCUGCACCUGCCCCCAGGAAGAGCCUGUCCCCAGGGGCUGAGCCGAGGGGAGUGAGAGCAGCAGUGUGUCUGAUGGAGCAGCACUGCUCAGCUCGCUGGGGAAACAGCAGUGACAGCCAGACCCCAAAAUAACAGGAUUUCGCUUUGGGAAUGCCAAUGGCUUUUUCAAACUGAAAUGCCACAGGAAGGCCUUAACAGCUGUUAGAAGUGUUUCACAUUGCUGUUCCUUGCUUAAAAAAAAAAAAAAAAGAUUUUUGGUGAUGAUGUGGGUUUACACUCUCCACUCCUUCCAUCUCUUAGUAAUGUGCCAUGCUGGUGGAGAAGUAAUGCCCAAAGUAGAU